CACAAAGUAUGAAGAGAAUGUCGGGAGAGGAAGUGGUGGCUCUGAGUCAGCACGAGUCAUCUGGUUCCAGUGACAAUGAAGACUGAGGCAAGCUGCGCAUAUCUUGGGAUCUUCACAGCACAGUGGCUGGGAAGGCAGGCGGACCCGUCUAUCAGCUUCUCCCUGACAUCCAGCAAGAAGCAGCUCAAGGGUUUAUCUUGGCUCACAGUUUGAAGGUCCGACUCAUCAUGGCAGGACUUGGCGUUGGGUCAGAUGCCCUGUGGCUGUGUCAUGUGGAAUGCGAGGCUGCCUGCUCAUAUCUCAGCAGAUCCAGAGGGGACAAAGAAGAAGGCCACACCCACACGACUUCAGGCAAGGAUGCUGCUGCUCACAUUCAGGGUGGAUUUUUUUUUUUUGUUCUGCCCUUGUUAAGAAUUUAUAAGAGAUCUUUAUACAUGCCUAAAAUAAAUAAAUCCAUUACUGACCAGACA
rnacentral:lncRNA from 1 species